CUCCCUAUCUUCCCUAAAAUCUGCUAAAGCGUCGACAGUUUCAGGAGUCUCGGGGUCAAAAGCAGUGCCUCGUUGCUGAAAGUUGUUGAUCUGCUUCCUUUUAAUUACUGCGGAAGAACGGCGAUUAUUUAUAACGGAAUUAAAAUACCAUUAACUUUAUUCUGAUACUGGAGGCCUGCCAAGGAAAUCUCAGGUCUCCAGCAGGCCUAACCUGCGGGUACUUUUGGCACUCCGUGGCGAGCUCACUCUUAUACGAGGCAUCGCCCCACACAGGUGAGGACACAGCCGCUCCCAGUGUUCAAUAUACCUUGGCCAUAACAUUGUAUUUGAGGACUCUUAUAGGAGGCUUUGCCCCACACAGGUGAGGACACAGCCGCUCCCAGUGUUCAAUAUACCUUGGCCAUAACAUUGUAUUUGAGGACUCUUAUACGAGGCAUUGCCCCACACAGGUGAGGACACAGCCGCUCCCAGUGUUCAAUAUACCUUGGCCAUAACAUUGUAUUUGAGGACUCUUAUAGGAGGCUUUGCCCCACACAGAGGUGUUGAAGCAAGCCUGAGUGACGGCAGGCUGGCGGGCUGCCGUCGGGACCCAAGCCAGCUUGUUGUGCGCAGCAGAGUGUGCGGGAGGAGGAAAGAGGGGAAAGGUGUGUGUGUCAUUCUCAGGGGUGACCACGGUGGAGCGCAGACACUCACUAGUUGUGGUCGAGGCUUAAUUAAGUUGAUGAGUGGUGUUAAGACCGAGUGAGCAGGUUACCUGUCACCCCGUGUCAGUGGGAACACUUGCCAUGUUUUCUUGGUGCGUUGGUGCUACUCAUUCUUGUGUUUACAGGUUAGUUCAGACUGAUAGUUUGUCCAGUGUGUUUGCGGUGAUUCACAAGUAAUUAGACUAAGCUCCAAGUGUUACGAGUGACACAGUUUAGUCUCACAAGGCUGGACCCUGUCCCUUGACCCUUAGUUCACCAUCAGAAUCCCUUAACAAAUAUAUUUACCUCAAGUAAUGUUCUUAAAGUCUCGCUGCCCAUAUUAUUUGGCAGAUGAUGAUCCUGUGUGCGAUAACGGUGCCUUACAAGACUUGCUAAAUAAACUACUAACUUUA